AGAUAACUCCAUGGGCCCCACCAGCUUGUCACGGCAACAAGCGCAAGAAUCUCCCUACGAGAACCUCAGCCGCAGAAUCAACUCCAUAAGUCAAUGUUUGCGGGAGUGACUCUACUGUAGCAUGCAUCAUAUUUAAGAUCUCAGUUUUGUUCAGUUUUGUACAACUAAGUACAGCAGCAUAACAGACUAUGUCCUUCACAGAUGUGUUAGCAAAAACCUACAAAAGUGGACAAAAUCAUAUGGACAAUCUUUAGAGGGUGCGGCGUGAAGAAAACUCUUAUUCAUUCUUGUGUGGCAGAAGACACUGUCCACAGUAAGCAGAGCGGAUAAAAAUCAAUGUAUUUUUUAAAAAUAAAAAAUCGGAUUUUUUAAAAUUUAAAUCGGAUUUUUUAAUAAAAUGGUUUUUGAGGAAGAAUCUAUCUAAAGAUAUUUUUCUAUUUAAGAUACAUUAUAGUCCAAAGGUUAUCGUCAUGAAAUAAGGAUUCGUUUUUAACUACGUAGCGUGAGGCUGUAUAUUCAUGCAAUGUUUAAUUUUUUUGGUAAACAAAUUCCAUUAAUCCAAUCACAAUGUCAUGCUCUUCCAGAGGUUUCUGUAAAAUUAUUGGGGAAUUUUUCUAUCUAGAAGAUAUUAUCACAGAUGCUUGGUUUUACAGUUCUCAAAGCCGUGAAUUUGUGUCUGCAGAGAUCACGUCCCUUCUUCACCGCAAAAAGGUUAUAAAAUGAACAUACACAGUUGAGAAAAAGACCUUAAUCCCAUUGUUCCUUUGCAAAUCUUUGUACACAGAACCAAUCCCUUCCCUCUUAAGUGCCAAGUUUCAAAAAAUUCAAUGAACAGAAGAUAGUUGGGAGUAGAAUAGAUCUGCACAAGAAGCUAAGUGGGAGGAGUCUUUAUGUAGAAAAGAAUGAGUUUUUAUGUAGAAAACCAUGAUUUAAAUAUAGUCUUACUGACUAGUAAUUUAAAAUGUGAUUUAAAUCGAUUCGAUUUAAAUCAAAUCCACCCUGAUAGUAACCAAUCUUAAGUGGAGCAAAUUGUACGUUACCUUUCCCCGUACAGAUUCUAUCGUCAAUAUGAUGUCUUGCUUCCAAAACAUGGGUCUCCUGGGUACAACUACACUUCAGUCUUGAAAUUUUACUCAGACCCACCACUGCCAAAUCAUUCUCAUAAAUACUUCUCUAUUCCCUAAACUAUUGUGUUCACUUCUCUUCUACAAGUAUGUUGUUGAGAUAAAACUAUGUCUAGAUUACUGAGUGAUGCCUAUUGAAAUAAUUUUUUAAAAUGAAGUAAUAUUUUAUACUGAUGAA